GACCACUACCACGCCGACGUGGCCUACCACAACAGCACCCACGCCGCCGAUGUGGCCCAGUCCACGCACGUCCUCCUCUCCACGCCGGCACUGGAGGCUGUCUUCACGGACCUGGAGAUCAUGGCUGCCAUCUUCGCCAGCGCCAUCCACGACGUUGACCACCCAGGCGGCUCCAACCAGUUCCUCAUCAACACCCACUCAGAGCUGGCCCUGAUGUACAACGACUCCUCGGUGCUGGAGAACCACCAUCUGGCUGUGGGCUUCAAGCUGCUCCAGGAGGAGAACUGCGACAUCUUCCAAAACCUCAGCAAGAAGCAGAGGCAGUC